rnacentral:misc_RNA from 1 species
AACUGAUACUACCUGCGGGAACCUGCGGAAGGAUCAUUACCAAGAGAAAUCUUUCAACACUGAAAGAUCUUUUCCUUUGUGCUGGCUUUGACCGUAUGUAAUUUUGGGACUUUAAAAUGGUUCGCAAGGGCCGGUCCCAAAAACAAUAUAUCAUCCUUAUGAAAUUUUUUCUGAACAAUUAAACAAAUGAUUUUAAUAAUCUGUUUAAAACAACUUUCAACAAUGGAUCUCUAGAUCGGA